GGGAAUAUAGAUAGAGAGAGACAUUGAGAGGGGAGGGAGGACGAAGAAAAGAAGGCACAGAUCUGCGAAAAAAAAACGCAGCAACACCUCCUCUCUUCUAUUUCAUCUUUUUCCUACCACCUAACCACAAACCAGCCAUUUUCUUUGAUCCAUUUUUAGCCAUGUGAGAUAAUCUUUAGCCACUCAAACUCUAAACUGAAAAUUAGCAGCAAACCCAACAGCAAAAACACACAAAAACCCAUCCAAAACACCCCCAAAACAGCCCCAAAUGCAGCUGAAAAAGCCAUUAAAACCCCAUUGAAGCCAGUUCUUCUCCUCCAAAAAAGAAAUCCAGUGAAAAAUCUCCAUUAAAAUGCUUCAAAACACCCCCAAACUUCAGCUUUGAAUCACCCCAAAAUCACCUUUCACACAGCUGAAACGUCACCUUUGUAACAUCAUUUUUUCAGAUGUAAAAACUAGCUUUGAACCACUGGUUUCUUAACCAUUUUUAGCCAUCGAAGUAGCCAAAAAAAAAUGACCCCAAAAGCUGCAAAAACGCAGCAUCUCCACCAACAAAAAAACAGCUCCGACCCUACUGAGACGAGGCUUUUUUCGAGGCCGCUAAUGAGAUUUUCCGGUUAAGUCGAGAUCGCCGGCGAGUUGCUUUUCCCGGUUCGCGGUCCAUGUUUCAGAUUUUGUUCCUGCUCUUGGUCAACCAUGGCUUGUGCACAUAUGCGAUACUCGAAAUUUCUUCUUCAAUUGGAAGACGAUUUGCUUUGCUUAAGGUUAUACUCCAACUUUGUUCAUUUUUAUUUCAGAUCUUAUUUCUUAUUGGUAUGUGAAUAAUAUCUGUCUAGUUUAAUUACUCCAUGCUAAAUCAAGAAUUUGUCUUUGUCUGGUAUUAUGAAGAUUAGCUCAUGACCAUUUUAAUUUAUUUAUAACUUUUACGACUGUACGUGUUUGGUAGUACACAUUGUUUGAGUUGCUUUAUUUAAACUAGAAUGAGAGAAUUUAAUUUGAGCAUAUUUGAAUGUUAAGGAAGUGUGGCAGUGUUAUUUUUACUAAUUUUGGUAAGUGGUGGGGUUAAUCACAAUUGAAAAAAAUUGGGCUUUACAUGAUGUCGGACUGAAUUCUAAUUUUUUUUAUUAGACCUGAGCCAAAUAAUGUAACGUCGCCCAAGUUUUUAAGUAAUAUACAUGUUGCUAGCCCAUUUUCAUGUCUUCCAUACUUAUCAAUUCAUAGCAUUUCUCCCACAAUAAUUUCAUAAUUCGUGACCUUACAAUAAUCUCAAAAGUAGUUUAGGAAAAUAACUCACGAAACCUUUAAUUAGUUUAUCGCGAUUAUGUAUACGUUCGCGUGACAUAAUUGUGAUUUUCAAAAUUAAAACCAUAGUAUGUGUUCGCGCAACUUUGGCCAAAAUAAUCUUAAUAUAAUAAAAUGCUAUUAAUUGUGUACACGUAUGCGUGACAUAAUUUUGGCACAACAAACAAAACGGAUUCACACACGUGAUUCGUUUCAAAGAUAAUUCCAUAUUUUAAUAAUUAAAAGCAGAUAGAUAAAACAUGGAAACUAAUAAAUCACAGUUUAUUCAAAAUUAAUUCAAGCCAAGUUGUAGUCAAUAAAGCGACCGUGCUAGAACCACGGGACUCGGGGGAAUGCCUUACACAUUCUCCCCGGUCAACAGAAUUUCUUACCCGGACUUUAUUUUUGCAUACCAAUAAUAAAAGAGUCAAAUCUUCCUUUGAAUAGGGGUUCAAAUAAUAGGUGACUUGGAACACCAAAAAUCAAUUUCAAGUGGCGACUCUGUAAAUAAAGUAAUCCCUACUCAAGUUUGUCACUUUAAUUGGAAAAACUCUUUAACCCACAAUCCACAACGAUACAUAACAUACAUAUCGUUUCGGGGUAAAACGGGGUGUGACAACGAGGUACGCAAUUUUUGAUUUAUUAUAUUAGUAGGACCUUAGGUAAGGCCGAAACUAGGUACCUUCACAUAGAAAAACUGAUGCUCGCCUUGCUAAACGGCUCCAGGAAGCUAAAACCAUACUUCCAAUGUAACCCCAUAUGUGUUGUAAUAACUUACCCAUUAAGGAACAUUAUGCAUAAGCCCGAACUCUCGGGCCGAUUGGUCAAAUGGGCCGUGGAAGUAAGUGGUUACGAUAUUGAGUACCGACCUCGGACCGCCAUUAAGUCCCAAAUUUUGGCAGACUUCGUGUCCGACUUUAUCCCAACCCUAAUAUCCGAGGUCGAAAGAGAGUUAUUGAUUAACUCGGGGAAUUCCUCGGGAAUCAGGACCCUCUUUACGAAUGACGCCUCAAACGCAAAAGGGUCCAGAAUUGGCAUCGUACUAAAGCCACCAACAGGUAAUAUAAUUAGGCAAUCUAUUAAGACUGUGAAAUUGACUAAUAACGAGGCCGAAUAUGGGGCCAUGAUUGCAGGCCUUGAAUUAGCCAAAAGCUUGGGGGCAGAGGUGAUCGAAGCCAAGUGUGACUCACUCCUUGUGGUAAACCUAGUUAAUGGGACAUUCGAGGUCAUGGAAGAACGAAUGCAGAGAUACUUGGAAAAGUUACAAGUGACAUUAUAUCAGUUCAAAGAAUGGACUUUGCAACAUGUACCUCGGGAUCAAAACAGCGAGGCCGAUGCCCUCGCUAACUUGGGAUCGUCGGUCGAAGACAACGAGAUCAACUCGGGAGAAGUCAUACAACUUAUGAGAUCGGUGGUGGAAGAAGGCCAUGCCGUGAUCAACUCAACGAGCCUAACUUGGGAGUGAAGGAAUAAGUAUGUGGAAUAUCUCAGGACCGAAAAACUGUCCUCGGAACCGAAAAAAUCGAGGGCCCUACGUACAAAGGCAGCCCGAUUUUGCCUGUCCGAAGACGGAACCGUAUUUAGAAGGACAUUCGAUAGCCCACUUGAAAUAUGUCUAGGGCCGGGGGAUACUGAGUACGUUUUGAGGGAAAUCCACAAAGGUACCUGUGGAAAUCAUUCGGGCGCCGAAUCACUGGUUCGAAAAAUAAUCAGAGUCGGUUACUACUUGAUAGACAUGGAAAAAGACGCAAAGGGGUUCGUUCGAAAAUGUGAUGAAUGCCAAAGACACGCUCAGAUGAUUCAUCAACCUGGAGAGCUACUGUAUUCAGUUUUGUCACCAUGGUCGUUCAUGAGGUGAGGAAUGGACAUCGUCGGCCACCUUCUAUGGGCACCCGGUAAGGCUCGAUUUAUAUUAUUUCUGACUGACUACUUUUCUAAAUGGGUGGAAGCCCAGGCAUAUGAAAAGGUCAGAGAGAAGGAAGUUAUCGAUUUCAUUUGAGACCACAUCAUAUGCCAAUUCGGGAUGCCGACCGAGAUUGUAUGCGAUAAUGGGAAACAAUUCAUCAGAAGCAAAGUAACUAAAUUCCUCGAAGACCAUAAGAUCAAAAGGAUUCUAUCGACACCCUAUCACUCUAGCGGGAAUGGACAAGCUGAAUCUACCAACAAAACCAUACUCCAAAGCCUUAAAAAAGUUUAACCGACACCAAAGGAAAAUGGAAGGAAAUGCUACCUGAGGUCCUAUGGGUGUACCGCACAACCUCGAAGUCCAGUACUGGAGCCAUCCCAUUUUAUUUGGUUUAUGGCACCAAAGCUUUAAUAUCAGUCGAGGUCGGAGAACCAAGCAUCAGAUUCUGAUAUGCAACAAAGGAAUCGAACGAUGAUGCUAUGAGUACGGGCCUGGAGCUAUUAGAUGAAAGCCACGAAGCCGCCCUCGUCCGGCUGGCCGCCCAAAAACAGAGGAUUGAAAGAUAUUACAAUUAAAGGGCCAACCUUCGACACUUCAAUACAGGAGACUUGGUACUAAGAAAAGUUACACUGAGUACCUGAAACCCAAACGAAUGGAAAUUAGGGCCGAACUAGGAAGGACCAUACCAAAUUAUCGAGAUCAUCGGAAAAGGGUCCUACAAGAUCGGAAUAAUGAACGGCGAGCAAUUACCGAACAAAUGGAAUAUAACUCACUUAAAGCGAUAUUACUGCUAAGGUAUGACCCCGAUUAUUUCUUUUAUUUUUACAUUUCAAAUUAACACUAGCAGGUAACAAACAAGGGAUGAUACGAGAUCCUAGGUCUGAAAGCACGCGUUGCACUAUUUUUCCCUUGAACCGGCUUUGUCCCAAAUGGGUUUUCCGGCAAGGUUUUAAACGAGGCAACAAGUAAAUCGUGCUAACUUAGAAUUGAAGGCUGGCUACGAACCAGUGACAAUGAUCACAACAUCAUUCAAGGCCUCUCUUCGGUUAGCCCCGAACACUGGGGCCAAUACCCUUGGAUAUCGACUUUAACAAGGAAAGAAAACUUCGUGAUUGAAGGGUCUCGAUCAACAAGAUUUAUUGUAAGGGCCAAAUAGUCAAAUGAACCGUACCCACAUACACUGCUCGAGCCCUGGCACAAAAUAUGUAUAUAUAUACAACUAUUGUGCACAAGAAUAAAAAAGAAGACUCUUCCUUGCACAUAAGCAUCUUUUCCUUUAAAAUGUUUCUUUCAUUUUUCAAGGAAUUUCCUAAAGCUAUCGAGCCCAAGGGCCACCUUAAUCUGAGUUCGAACAUUCACUCUCACUCGGGGACUGCCAACCAAAAAUAAUCUCGGGCGGUCCGAGCUAUCAGAUCUCGGGGGCACAAGACCAUUAGGCAAUGCCCGAAUUUCAAAGGCCACGACCACCCCCACUCGGGGAUAGUUAUAUUAGGUAUGCCCGGAUAACUCGGAAUAGCAAGCCCACUGGGCAACGCCUGAACUAAAAAGGAUACGACCAUAUUAACACAGCUCGGAGACGUCCAAGACUCGUAACAAAAAAAAGGCCUUCAAAAAAUUCUUUUUUUAUAACCGGGUCUAAAGGCUACCAUCGACAAACCAUCAACCUAAACUAUUUUGGGGAAAAGUUUUCGGUAACACCGAAUCCCUCUGAUGCCUAAACACAAAAUAAUGUUAAAGGCAAGGUUUGUUCGAACCUUAGAACACAACCUAAUUAUUUCAUGCUAAGGCAUUUUGACCUUUGCGAAUACAAAUAAAAAAGCGAAGGAAAAAUUCAAAAGCUGUGAAAGGGAAAAGCCUUAGAUAUAUAUCAAAAUUUCUUCUUACAAGAGCUGAAUAGCCCCGAUACAAAUUUUUACAAAGGCUGAACGACCUCAACAAAAAGAUAGUACAAAAAACAAAAGGCAAAAAUGCCUAAAAUGAUCCUAAACGGCCUAAUCUUCAUCGGGGGCCACGUCAUCACCUACGGGGUCUUCGCCACCAUCAGACUCACCCGACUCUUUAGACCCCUCGGAAUCUUUCUCGGGAUAAGCCAUCUUCCUGAUCUUGGCUUCGUAUAUCUUGGCUAUCUCGAUUUCAGCCAAUAAGUCAAAAUUCUGAGCAUGGACUCCCUCGAGGGCCUCCCUUCGGGAUUGCCACUUCGCAUGCUUCACCAUGUUUCUCGCUUGGUUCUGAAUCGCCUCGGUAUCGGCCUUGUGCUAGGCCAACUUAUCAUCGGCCCCGGUCCUGACCAUGGCAACCUCUGACAUGGUUACCUCAAGCUCCUUGGCAAGAUUCUGUUGACUGGAGACAACCGAGUUCAGCUGAGACUGAAGCCCCUUGAUCGUUUUGGCCGGCACCAAGUUUUCCUCCUUUGCAGCCUGAAGCUGAACCUCAGCCGAAGUCAACUGAGCUCGGCCAGUAUCCUUCUUCGAGGCCAUGCGAUCCAUGUUUUUCCUCCAUUCUUUGGCCUCGGCUUUGACCGUAUCCACCUUCCCUCAGAGCUGCUCGAUCUGGUCAAGCUUAUUUUGAACUUGUGGGUUUGGAUCGUUAGCCACUGUGUCUGACUCAUCAUGACUAACUUCAAAAACUUUUCUCACCUGCUCGAGCAAGUCGGUAUGCUCAUUCCGAGCCGCUUCUAGAUCAGCCUGGGAUUUCUCACGAAGAAGAUUGUAAGCAUCCUUCUUCUCAGUAAGCUCCCAAGUCUUGACCUCGUGACAUUUGAACUCUUCCCGGUAUCAAAGAAAUGCCUUGUGCUGAAGUACCGAGACCUGCAAGCACAAAGGAAAAUGUUACAAUUAUUUACGACUAAAUCUAAGUAUAUAAUAAAGGGACAUUCAAAGUUACCCGAUUCAACGCAUGUUGAGCUUCGUUGAACAUGCAAGGCGCUUUCACCUCGUUCAUUUUGGCCUGAUCCUCUUCGGUCACCAAUCACCGAAGGUAACUGGCAAUACUCACGGGGGCAGAGAGAACCCGGACAAACUCCGAAAUUGACAUAAAUAUUGCUCGCUUCCGGGUAGGAUCAACACUCGGAGAUGGGAACCGAUUCACUAAUUUUGGGCUUGAAGAAGACCCGCCAACUCCCAGAGACGGUAUCUUAUUUGGUACCAGUAAGUCACCCAACCCGGUGAUAUCCUCCAAGGUGGUAGAAUCCAAGCCAUCGAAGAAGUUGUGAAAAGAAUCUGUUGCUCCUUGGGGUCCCUCACUGAGGUGACAUUUCAACGUCUGAGCCUCGUUUAUCUUAAAAUCAGUAAACGAAGGCGACCCGGAGAGAUCUAACACCUCGAGUGCGUCAUUCAGAACAUUAUCUUCCUACCGAGAAGUAUCGUCCACGGUUUAUUUGUCGGCCUCCCCAUCUCGGGGCAAAACGACCUCAACCCUCCCUAGUUCGGGGGCCUCGGCCAUUGCUUCUUCAUCGACCUCCCUGGUUUGAGACAGUUCGGAACCGCUUCUCACGCGGGCCACCAAUUCGGAUUAUUCUUCUUCGGACUCAUCCCUCAACCGAUGGACUGACUCCGAUGGGAGUUCUCGGGCACUGGUAUUUUCUUUAGGUUUGCGUGCAAGUCGCUUCCUCGGUUUCUUAUUUUCGGGGCUCGAGGAGCUCGGAACUUUUCUUCUUUUCUUCUCUUUAUCCUGCUUCGGACCAGGGGGAUCGGUGAAUAUGUCAUCAUCGCCGGACGGAGGCCUCAUUUCGACAUCUUUUGGUAAACCUGCAAUAGAGAAGUAAACAAUUCAGAAAUCGAGGGCGUAAAAGUAAGGUCGAAUGUAACUUAAAUAAACAAAUCUCACCAUGAGAAUGGGCCUCCCAUCGGCCCUUCGAAAGCUCAUGCCAUGAGCACUCGGAAUAAGAUCUCUGUGUUGCGAUACCCUCGACCCACUCCUUGAGUCGAGGAACUGCAUCCGGCAUCUGAGCAACAACUGUACCAUCACAAAAUAUCAAUGAAAAGGCAGGAAAAAUAAAACCAAUAAAAAAAAUCUUAAAGGCAAAGUUAUACUUACGUUUCAUGUUCCAUUUCUCAGGAAAUGGCAUAUCCUCAGCCGAGAUUAAAUCCUAGGUCUUCACUCGAACAAAAUGGCCCAACCAGCCUCGGUCCCGAUCCUCAUCGAUGCUCGAGAAUUGGGCCUUAUCGGCCUGACGUGCAAGCUUGAUUAAUCCCCUUCAAUAGAGUCGGGGGCUAUACAGGCGCAUAAGGUGGUCGAUGGUAAAGGGACACCCCUUGAGUUUGUUCAUGAAGAAUCGAAGAAGAAUUACUAUCCUCCAAAACGAAGGAUGAAUCUACCCAAGAGUCACCUCAUACAUUUUGCAAAAGGCUAUGAUAACUGGAUCUAAAGGACCCAAGGUGAAAGGGUAAAUGAAAACAUUUUAAAAAAACCCUCCACGUGGGUGGUCAUCGAUUCCUCGGGGGCAGGGACCACUACAAGCUUAUCGGCCCAGUUGCAGUCCUCCUUAACCUUCUCAAGGACACUGUCGGUGACCGAACAUAUGUACCUCGAGACCGGCUCGCACCGACCCGGUACCAAGGAGAUUUUCUCGAAUUGGAAAUCAGCUCUGGUUGGACACCCCGCAGCGACGAACAUCUUUAGAGGGGGUUCUGGUGUCGGUUCUUCAGUGACAGCAGGCGAAACGUUCUCAGACGAUCUCGAGGAAGAAAGGUUUUCUUUUUGAGAAACGAAUUUUGAUGUACCAUUGCUUCUAAAUAGAGAAGAAAAGAAGGAGGCGUAAUUAGAAGAUAACUUAUGAUAGCUUUCAGAAAACCAGAAGGGAAGAAGUUUUAAACUUAAGUUUUCAGAAAACUAGAAGAUGAGAGUGAUCAAGUUUUCUUAAAACACAAGAGCAAAUGUUUGAAUGUAAAAGUUCUAAUGAAUGGAUGGAAAGGGUAUUUAUAGUUUUCUCAAACGGAUGUUCGCAUCCUGUAGCGCCGACUGUUAACUGACACACAUUUAAUGUCUUGAAGACCGGACCAACGAGACGUUUCAACUAUUCUUAUCACUUAUGUCAUGAGUUCAUCAUCGUGAUUUAUCGGAGUGAGAAUCGGAAGCUCGUAUCGUUUCUCGUCAUUUACUCUUCAAAAAACAAGGGGAUUUAACGUCAUGUUUUUGUCACUUACGUCAUGAUAUAUCCAAGUGAUAAUCUGAGGCUCAUGUCGUUCCUCGUCAUCUACUCUCCGAAAAAUGAGGGGACUAUCUGUAAACGGGUAAAACUGAGCUCGAUAUUCGAUCGAGCUUCCGAACUCCCUGAUUAGGCCAGGGUCAGAAUAUUUGUGAUCGGGUGGAGUCGAGCUCGAAGAUCGAUUUGGCGUCUAACACCAUCAACCAAGAUCGGCACAUGGUGGUUAUGAUCGAACCCAAAGCAUUGUCAAAGUUAGCAAUCGAAACCAUCAGAUUUGCCCUCGAGUUUACCGAAGGCGUAACCGGUCCUGUUUCUAACGGUCUCGAAGAAAGUUUUGCCAACUCAUCCGACAGAGGUCCAUAAUUCUCGCCAUUAACCAACUAUUAUGGAAGAAAUCACGGAACGAGUCAAAAAGGGACCAACGGUCAGCAAAUCAUCGACUUUUGCCUUUUAUAGAAUAAUAAGAUAAUAUCUUAAAAGGUAGGUCUCUCCUAAUAUAUUUAUAAAGGGGAUUUAAAAAUUCAUGAGACAUAUUGUAACAUACACGGAUAAGCAAUACAUUCUCUGAGUUCUUACUCUGUGGUAUCUUUGUGUCAACAAAAGUGCAUUCAUUUCAAGGGUGGCUUGCUUACCUGUAUACCCGAAAAAGGGAUAGAGUUGAAUUUAUAGUAGUUCUAAGGAUACGUGGUAUAACUCGGCACAAAUUGGAAAAAUAAGUAGGUAUAUAUUGAAUAUUGACUGUAAAAAAGAAUGAAUACAAACCCUAAUUGAGUAGAGAAUGAUUGAUAAAUGAACAAGAUGAAUCAAUAUCAAAAGCCCAAAAAAGGAUAAUAUUUGCUAGAUGUUAUGUAAAUCUCAAUAAUCUUUGAAUGUAAGAAUGUGUGAAUGUAUAUCAAUCUGCCCUUUACAAAUGUUAGCCACUCCUAAUAUAGUGGAGGAAUCCUACUUUGGAUAUAAUUUAAAAUAUAUAGUGGGGAUCCCAUGAUAGAUUAAUUGGCUUUUCCUUGAUUCAAGCCAUGAUUUCAGCCGAGAUUCU
rnacentral:lncRNA from 1 species